GAUCCGGCUCAGGAUGAACGCUGGCGGCGUGCUUAACACAUGCAAGUCGAACGAAGCACUUUAAUUGAUUUCUUCGGAAUGAAGUUUUUGUGACUGAGUGGCGGACGGGUGAGUAACGCGUGGGUAACCUGCCUCAUACAGGGGGAUAACAGUUGGAAACGACUGCUAAUACCGCAUAAGCGCACAGGAUUGCAUGAUCCAGUGUGAAAAACUCCGGUGGUAUGAGAUGGACCCGCGU
rnacentral:rRNA from 1 species